rnacentral:rRNA from 1 species
CAGUAGCCGCGGUAAUACAGAGGGUGCGAGCGUUAAUCGGAUUUACUGGGCGUAAAGCGUGCGUAGGCGGCUUCUUAAGUCGGAUGUGAAAUCCCUGAGCUUAACUUAGGAAUUGCAUUCGAUACUGGGAAGCUAGAGUAUGGGAGAGGAUGGUAGAAUUCCAGGUGUAGCGGUGAAAUGCGUAGAGAUCUGGAGGAAUACCGAUGGCGAAGGCAGCCAUCUGGCCUAAUACUGACGCUGAGGUACGAAAGCAUGGGGAGCAAACAGGAUUAGAUACCCCAGUAGUCCCUGUCUCUUAUAC